ensembl:lncRNA
CAGGGGGUUAAGGAUCCAGAGUUGCCGUGAGCUGUGGUGUAGGUCGCAGACGUGGCUCGGAUCUGGUGUGACUCUGGUGUAGGUCGGCAGCUACAGCUCCGAUUCAACCCCUAGCCUGGGAACCUCCAUAUGCUGUGGGAAGCGGCCCCAGAAAAGGCAAAAAGAAAAAAAAUACAUCCGUACAGAGUGGGGUCUUUCUCUCUCAAGGUCCCCCAAGGCCCACAGCCCUUUUUUCACACUCCGUUACUUUCAAAUACUCCAUCAGCCCCUCCCAGUAAACCUCUACUGCCCUCUUUAUCUGUCAAUCCCCCUUCUUAAUUCAUGUGACACUACUUCGGGCCGGGUCCCUAUUACAUUCCCUGAGGACAACUGCAAGAGGUUCAGAUGGAAAGUGGAAAAGUGAGUUCAAGGACACUUAUAGAGAGAUCCAAGACAUCCCCACUUCCCCCGCCUUCAUCACCGUUUCACUGCGCCGCCAGGCCAGGCUGGAAGUCCCCCAGCACAUGCUGAAUAGCCACCAACGUCCCCUCCUUCAGGCCAUGCAAUGGGAGCUGGCGACUCAGAGGCACCUGUAACCAACCGCUCCUGUCUGCGCGGCUCCUGGGUUUGCACCAGCAUCCUCUCUCAAGCCGGUCGUUUAAGCAGGGAGCUGCAUCGGGGCUCUGCCGCCCUCUAGCGCCCAUGUACUUUAAUGACAGCCCGCAGCCCUUCCUACCCUACUAGUGGGAAUGGAAAUUGGUACAGCAACUGUUAAGAAGAAACUAAAAGUCAAGCUGCCGUGUGGUCCAGAAAUCCCACUUCUGGGCUUAUAUCCAGAAAAAAUUCUAUUUUUUGUUUGUUCUUAUGGCUGCACCUGGGGCACAUGCAAGUUCCCAGGCUAGGGGUCUAAUCGGAGAUGUAGCGACCAGCCUGCAGCACAGCCACAGCAACACCAGAUCUGAGCUGUGUCUUCAACCUACACCACAGCUCACGGCAAUGCCGGAUCCUUAACCCAUGGAGCGAGGCCAGGGAUUGAACCUGCAUCCUCAUGGAUCCUAUUUGGUUUCGUUUCCACUGAGCCAUGGCAGGAACUCCCCAGAAAAUUUUAAUUUGAAAAGAUACUCAUAGAGUUCCCGUUGUGGCGCAGCAGAAACAAAUCCAACUAGGAACUAUGAGGUUACAGUUUCCAUCCCUGGCCUCUCUCAGCGGGUUAAGGAUCCAGCGUUGCCAUAAGCUGUGGCAUAGGUCGCAGAUGAGGCUCGGAUCUGAUGCCGCUGCUGCUGUGGCUGUAGGGUAGGGGGGCAGCGGUAGGUCCAACUCAACCCCGAGCGUGGGAAGCUCCACAUUCGAUGGGUUCAGCCCUAAAAAGAAAAAAAAAAAAAAAAGAAUGAAAUAAAAGAAAAGAUACUCGUGGGAGUUCCCGGGGGUUGUAGUGAGUUAAGAAUCCUACUCCAGGGGCUUGAGUUGAUGCAGAGGUGCAGGUUCAAUCCACAGGCCCAGCCAGUGGGAUAAAGGAUACAGCAUUGCCACAGCCGCAGCUCAGGUCUCAGAUUUAAUUCCUGGCCCUGGAACUUCCAUAUGCCACAGGUACAGCCAUAAAAAGAAGAAAGGAAGGCGGUCCCAGCAUGGCUCAGUGGUUAACGAAUCCGACUAGGAACCAUGAGGUUUCGAGUUCGAUCCCUGGCCUCGCUCAGUGGGUUAAGGAUCUGGUGUUGCCGUGAGCUGUGGUGUAGUUCGCAGAUGCGGCUCAGAUCCUGCAUUGCUGUGGCUGUGGCGUAGGCUGGUGGCUACAGCUCCGAUUCGACCCUUAGCCUUGGAACCUCCAUAUGCCAUGGUUGCGGCCCUAAAAAGAUAAAAGACAAAAAANAAAAAAAAGAAUCAAUAGAGAAGACAUGGUACACACACACUGUGGAAUAUUACUCAGCCAUAAAAAAGAAGGAAAUAUUGCCAUUUUCAGCACAGAGGUGGACCUAUAAAGAUUAUCAUACUAAGUAAAGUAAAUCUUACAGAGAAAGACAAAUGCCAUAUGAUACCACUUAUAUCUGGAAUCUCAAAUAUGACACAAGGAUCUUAUUUACAACACAGAAAUAGACUCACAGACAUAGAGGGAAAAGUUAUGGUUACCAAAGGAGAAGCAGGGGGAUAAAUUAGGACUUUGGGAUUAGCAGAUACAAACUACUAGACAUAUAAAAGACAAACAAGGUCCUCUUGUAGAAAAAAAUCAGGAGAAGCCCCCCCCCAGCGUGUGGGCCUACACACACACACACACACACACACUUAACCGCCACACCAGGGAGAGAGCUCGGACACUGACUCUGGCAUCACAAUGAACAGGAUCCAAAAAGCAAGAACACCGCCAGGCCUUGUGCUGAUACAAUUAUUUUCAUUCCUACUCAAAAACUUUUAAUGGAAUAACUAAGAUAGACUGACCUUAAGGCUGAUUUAAAAUUAACCUGGUAUGUGCCUACCAUUUAAGAAUUAUCCUCUCCUAUGAUCUAGUGUCUCAUUAAAAUCAAAUUUCAUUGGGAGAAAGUCUACAUUUUGCAGCAUGAUUGGGAAAACCGUCACUGCCCUGUUGAUGAAGCUCCAGGGUUUCAGUGGAGCUAAAGCAGAAGCGAGGGUCUCUCCUCCCAGCGGCACAGGAGACCCUUCCCUGCCACCACCCCCACCCCAGUUAUCCCUCAGGAAAUGAUGGAAACCCCUUAAAAUGGCAUCAACCAAGGACCACAAACUAUUAAGAGCCUGGUGGCAGGGGUGGGAGCCGAAGCUGUUUUCAGGCAGAUGCUUCCCCAUACACCAAGCCCCGCUCCUUUCAACUCACAGUUUCCUGACGCGGCCCUGCCCGGAAGAGCUCUGGCAAGGGGCAUCCAUCCUCCCGUGGCGCUGGGUACCCCGCGAGGCCACGCCCCAGGGGGUGGUCCGAGCCUGUGCACCGUUUUCCCCGGGACGCGUCUCUAGCCAGCCACCUGCCUUUGGCUGGUGAAUCCAGGACCCUGCGAUGAGGGGGCCCACAUGCGGGGUGCACGGGAGGAGGCGCCCCUGCUUGAGGAGGGUCAUGGGCACGGGAGGAGCUGAGGCUCCCAGCCGGGGUCUGCACACAGGGCGCUGUGUCCUCCUCCUCUGUGAACACUUGGGGUUACCUCAUAAACGUUCCAAGUGGAUCUCCCACUCAGCAUAUUUAGAUCAAGUCUUCCCCCCAUUAAAAUUCAGGAUCGAGGUAUUCUUAGCACGAGCUGGCUGAUAUGGGGGGGGGGGGGCAAAUGAUCUAUUCCUUGGAGGCCUUUAAGAUUCAAAUGAGAGGGAGUUCCCGUUGUGGUGCGGAGGAAACGAAUCCUACGUAUGCAUGAGGAUGCGUGUUCAAUCCCUGGCCUCGUUCAGUGGCAAUGAGCUGUGGUGCAGGUCGGCAGCUGUAGCUCAGAUUGGACCCCUAGCCUGGGAACUUCCAUAUGCGGCGGGUAUGGCCUUAAAAAGCAAAGUAAUAAUAAUAAAUAAAGUUCUAAUGAGAAAGUACUCUGUUCACCCUCCUGGCAGCAGCUGGAGGUGAGAAUGGCUGCAUUCUUUAUGUCCCCUCUGAUUUCUCCAAAACCUUCCCUUCAAGGAGAAGCCUCUGGGCUCCAUAGGGACAGUGAGUGGGGACCAUCAGGUCACUGUGAGAACAGGAAGCGGGAGGAAGAGACCAGGCAGAAAAUGAGUCGUGGCUCGUUCAGACUCAGGCUGAGCACCUGGAGCUCACCCUGCUGGCCUUGUCACCUCAGGUGGGCUGGGGGCAGCCAAACUGCCAGGACCACUUUCAGAGAACGGGGGGCGGGGGGGGCACCCCAGGAGCCAGCCUGAAAAGAAGUCACUGCUGAGAAAUAAUAAGAUGCUCUUCUCAGGAAAGCAAAGACGGUUCUCUUGGUUCUCAAAGACUGGCAGAUACUGUGUGCUCUUGGGGAGGCCUGCAGAAGCCCAGGGCUUUUGAGCAAGAACAAUGGCGAGGUAUCUGGGCUCCAAGGCUACAGCACCCACUCCCUGAUGGUGCCGAGGCUGACUGUACCCACGCCUCAGUGCUGUGCGGCCUGAAAUCCCCUCAGGGCCUAGGACAGAGGGGCCAAGCAGCACCCCCCACGGGGCCACAGGGGGGCUUAGCCACGGAGCUACAGACCCUUCUCAGAUACGUGAUUGGCAAACAACUGCUGCCCUUUUGUGGGGUUGUUUUUGUUUUUUUUUUUGUCUUUUUGCUAUUUCU